UCAAUGGGCAAUGGCCCUCAAGCUUGAAGCAAAGGCCUCGAAAAGGCCAAUAAAGGGGGAAUCUCAUAAUACGGAAGAGGAAGCAGCAGAGAUACGCUGACAGACUGAGAGAGAGAGAGAGAGAGAGAGAGAGAGAGAGAGAGAGAGAGAGCGGGAGCGAAUGGAGUCGAAGAAGAUGGAAGAAGAAGAAGAAGAAGAAAAAGCGGAAUUCGAGGAAUCGGAGAUAGAGUACGUGAGCUAUGGGGGCGAACAUCAUCUACCGCUGAUCAUGCGCCUCGUUGACCAAGAACUCAGUGAGCCCUACUCCAUCUUCACCUACCCACUACUUCGUCUAUCUAUGGCCCCAGCUCUUCUUUCUCGGAUUCCAUAGAGGCAAAUGUGUAGGAACGGUGGUUUGAAAGAUGGGUGAGCAUAGGAACACUUUCAGAGGAUACAUCGCCAUGUUGGUUGUCAUCAAACCCUGUAGAGGAAGAGGCAUUGAUCUAUUAAAGUCAUGAUGGAAUCGGGUUGCGAAGAAGUAUAUCAGCAGAAUUUAGAUAUUUUUCCAUUGCUUUCUUCCGAUCACUGGUAAAAUAUGGAAUAAUAAUGGGAGCUUUGUAUAUUUUUUUUAUGUUGUAUUUUUUAUUAUGUUGUGGUUGUUGAAUGAUUCUUAUUUCCUCUCCUUCCCUCGCCUUCAUUGUUGUAUGAUUUUUGUUUUUAAUUUUUUGGUUCAAAUUUAUUAUUCAUUUGCUAUUUACCUUACUUUGAUCUAUAUUUACAUUAUGAUUUACUAUUUCCCAACCAAUUUUGGCACCGUAUACGAAACGCCCCUUGUGUGGCUUAUGAAGUAUUAAAUGAAAUGCAAUGAAUUGGUUGCUUUUGGAAUGAUGCUUAGAAGUGUAAAGCUUAAUUUUUUAUUUUGAUAGUACCUAUAUUCUUUAGAGAAGAUCAUAAAUGGAUGCGUGAUUGGGUUGUUAAUGUUAUUCCGCAUGCAUUCUAUAAUCAUAGCUAACCUUGGUAACACCCAAUUACAUUAAGCUAGAUUCCUUUCAUAAUUCUUUUUCUUACUUUUUAUUACUAUAUUUUGUGAUUUUGAAAGUCAGUGGUCGUUAUAACUUACUGACCAAAUUAUGAUAGGAAGCAGCUUCGUUGAAUCAAAUUUUAUACUCUAACUUGCCUCCCUUCUCUUAAGAUUUGAAAUGGUUGUGAUUACAUUUUAGUUCUCUUUUGUUUUAAUUCAGUUAAAUUUAUGUGUAUAUCAAUUUGUGGAUUUUCGUUUUAUAUCAGUGUUCUGAAGUUGAAGAUGAAACUUGUUACUUCAUGUUUGUUUGAUUUUCCUCAUAUGAGGGUGACAUUAGAAGCAGAAGUCACAAACAAAGGAGCACUUGCACUAUAUGGUCGUCUUGGAUUUAUGAGGGCAAAACGGCUCUACCGAUAUUACUUGAAUGGAGUUGAUGCUUUCCGUUCGAAAAACGGCUCUACCCUUUCGUUCAUAAAGAUGAGGGGCAGAUCAGGCAUACUGAUUAUCUACCAUCUGAAAAUGUUGCGGGUUACGUUGAAUCUUGUAAUCUAGAAUUUCCAAGUUCUAACCAGAACAAUUACCUACAAUUGUAUGUUGCAUUCUAUAAUUAUUUAGAAUGAUGUUUAUGAUAUUUAUUCUGUAACCACAAGCUGUUGGUUGAGAUGGGAUUAUCAAACUGACGAAA